rnacentral:rRNA from 1 species
GUCCACGCCGUAAACGAUGGGCACUAGGUGUGGGAGGUGUCGACUCCUUCCGUGCCGUAGCUAACGCAUUAAGUGCCCCGCCUGGGGAGUACGGCCGCAAGGCUAAAACUCAAAGGAAUUGAUGGGGGCCCGCACAAGCAGCGGAGCAUGUUGUUUAAUUCGACGCAACGCGAAGAACCUUACCUGGGUUUGACAUGACCGUGUAACUCCUGGAAACAGGAGCCCCUAGCAAUAGGCGCGGCCACAGGUGGUGCAUGGCUGUCGU